rnacentral:rRNA from 1 species
AGUGAACGCUGGCGGUAGGCCUAACACAUGCAAGUCGAACGGCAGCACAGUAAGAGCUUGCUCUUACGGGUGGCGAGUGGCGGACGGGGGAGGAAUACAUCGGAAUCUACUUUUUCGUGGGGGAUAACGUAGGGAAACUUACGCUAAUACCGCAUACGACCUACGGGUGAAAGCAGGGGAUCUUCGGACCUUGCGCGAUUGAAUGAGCCGAUGUCGGAUUAGCUAGUUGGCGGGGUAAAGGCGCACCAAGGCGACGAUCCGUAGCUGGUCUGAGAGGAUGGUCAGCCAGACUGGAAGUGAGACAGGGCCGAGACUCCUACGCUAGGACGCAGUCGAGACUAUUGCACAAUGGGCGAGAGCCUGAUCCAGCACUACCGCGUAAGUGAUGAAGGCGUUAGGGUUGGAAAGUCAUGUUGGUCGGAAAGAAGAGCAGCAGUUUAAUACCCCGCGGUAAUGACGGUACCCAAAGAAUAAGCACCGGCUAACUUCGUG